CCGUGCCUGUAGUUGCUGGCGGCUCCUUAGGGGGUUCGUCCAGCGCUACGUCCGGCCCAACCGUGUCUAUUUCUACCUGUUGCUUCGGCGGGCCUGCGGGCUUGCUCGCUGCCGGGAGUCCCUAAAGCUCCGGGCUCGUGCCCGCCGAAGACGCCCAGAACUACUGUUGAACUUGGCGGUCUGAGUGGUUUGAUUAAUUAUCA
rnacentral:misc_RNA from 1 species